GAUGAACGCUGGCGGCGUGCCUAAUACAUGCAAGUCGAACGAGGUGCCUUUGUAGCAAUACGAGGGUAUCCUAGUGGCGAACGGGUGAGUAACGCGUUGGUGACCUGCCCCAAAGUGUGGGAUAACAGUCCGAAAGGACUGCUAAUACCGCAUGUGGUCAUCGGGUUUAGAAACCGAUGUCUAAAGCAGCAAUGCGCUUUGGGAGGGGCCUGCGUCCCAUCAGCUAGUUGGUGAGGUAACGGCUCACCAAGGCGACGACGGGUAGGGGACCUGAGAGGGUGGCCCCCCACAAUGGAACUGAAACACGGUCCAUACACCUACGGGUGGCAGCAGUAGGGAAUAUUGCACAAUGGGCGAAAGCCUGAUGCAGCAACGCCGCGUGCACGAAGAAGGUCCUCGGAUCGUAAAGUGCUUUUCUGGGAGAUGAGAAAGGACAGUAUCCCAGGAAUAAGUCUCGGCUAACUACGUGC
rnacentral:rRNA from 1 species